AUUUGACCCUGGUAACAGCCCUCUCCCAGGACCCGGGGUGGGUCAGGGGAAACCUGAGGCUCCAUUCUAAAUUCCCACGGGGAAUGCCCUUCUCCAUGCCACUUCCCAGCCUGCUGGCGCUGUCCCAGCUCCCUAUUCCUCGCACAAUCUCCCCUUUCCAGGAAGUGCUGCCUGCUGCCCCAAAUGUUUCCUGGACUCUGCACCUGAGUGGUUUCCAGCAACUUCUCUGUGUUCUGAACUAGCCUGUAUUCCCAGUGUUUUGGGCAGUUGCUGAUGCCGGGUGGUGCUCAAUAAAUGUUUAUAACUGGCGUA